rnacentral:rRNA from 1 species
UACGUAGGUGGCAAGCGUUGUCCGGAAUUAUUGGGCGUAAAGCGCGCGCAGGCGGUUUUUUAAGUCUGAUGUGAAAGCCCCCGGCUCAACCGGGGAAGUGCAUUGGAAACUGGAAGACUUGAGUGCGGGAGAGGAGAGUGGAAUUCCAUGUGUAGCGGUGAAAUGCGUAGAGAUAUGGAGGAACACCAGUGGCGAAAGCGGCUCUUUGGACCGCAACUGACGCUGAGGCGCGAAAGCGUGGGGAGCAAACAGG